UGCUUCCGGAACAAGAUCGAGAGGUACGACCUGCCCGGUGACUAAUAAGUUAAACGGCUGCAGUACUCUGACUGUGCAAAGGUAGCAUAAUCAUUUGCCUAUUAAUUUUAGGCUGGAAUCAACGGUUAGACGAAAGAUAAGCUGUCUCCUUAUAAUUAAGCCGAAAUUAAUAUUAGAGUGAAGAAGCUCUAAUAAAGUAGUGGGACGAGAAGACCCUAUUGAGCUUUAGUUUAAUUAAAAUAUUUAGUUUUAUGAAAAUUUGGAUUGGGGCAAUUCUUUUUAUAAUAAAACAAAGGUAAUUUUUAUGAAUUUAGCCUAAUUAGAUCCUAAAUUAUUAGAAAUAUGAAAAAGUUACCAUAGGGAUAACAGCGUUAUUUUUCUUGAGAGUACAUAUUGACAGAGAAGUUUGCGACCUCGAUGUUGGAUUAAGAUUCCCAGGAUGUGCAGCAGCUUCCAAUGGUUGGUUUGUUCAACCAUUAAAAUCUU
rnacentral:rRNA from 1 species